rnacentral:lncRNA from 1 species
CAGAACCUACACCCCUCGAAGCCCCUUCUCAAAUUCCCCCCUCUUUAGGAAAUCUCUGCCUCCUGACUUUCAGUGAUUAUUUCUCUCCAUCCAGAACCCCUGCAGCAAUAAAGGAAGCCGAUAGCACCCACCUAGGCAUAGCUCUGGUAUGACGCGGCGUCUAAUUGUUUAUUACACCAUAACUCCAGGAAAGCCGUGGCCAGUGUGUCAUAUUUCAAUGGUACAUCAUAUGGACUGAGCACACAUAUUGCUCUAAGGACAAAGGGAGAAAACUAACGUUUACUGAAAGUCUAGGAGGUGCCAGCCACUGCACUAAGGUUUUCUAUCAAUUUUUUAAAAUUCUCAUUUAAAGCUCAUAACAGCCUUAGAGUAGAAGAUUUGCUUUCCACCAUUUUAAAGAUAAGGAAGCAGAGGCUUAGAACAGUUACAUAACUUACCCAAGAUCAAAGAGCCAAUAAGCAGAGGAGCCAAGAUUCAAACACAGCUAUCAGACUCCCUGCUCUUUCUGCUACUCCCUGAUUCUCAGUCUUGGCUGAUUAGCUUCUAGAAAUUUCAGAUGCCUAGGCAGGCCCCAACUCUGAAAAUUUUGAUUUCGAUUUCUAAUCCCGGGAGAGGCAGGGAGUGUUUAUUUCUUUCACUGCUCUGUUGCCAGCAAUGCCUUGCCUAUAGCAGCCACCAGAACAUGUUUGUUAAAUGAGUAAGUGAAUUCAACCCAUCUAGAAGAGUGGUUGUCAGGCCUGGCCUAUAUAUUAGAAAUCACCCGGAGAGCUGAUGAAGGAAUGCCUCUCUCUAGGCCCUACCCCCAGAGAUUCUGAUGCAAUUGGGCUGGGGUGGGGCCUCCUGGCAGGGAUCCUCGUUUUCAAAACCUCCCCGGGGCCAUUCACAUGUGCAGCCCCGGCUGAGAACCAUGGAUCUAGAGUGAGGUCAUGGGAUCUGCAAACUUUUCAAAGCCGCACAGAUGAUCUUAAAAUUGUUAUCUCCUGUUCUCCAAUGGGGAAACUGAGGCAGAGGAAGAAGCUCUGUGUGGCUUCAGGCCUCAGAACCUGCUCAUGGUAAGCCAGGAAUAGAACCCUUGUCUUUUGUAAACCAGCUAAGCGUGGAAAGCACGGGACACGUCUCUCCA